rnacentral:tRNA from 1 species
GAGGAUAUAGUUCAAGCGGUAGAGCCCAUGCUUAGCAUGCACGAGGUCCUGGGUUCAAUCCCCAGUGCCUCCU